CGGUUUAGGGUUUGGAUCUGUGAAAGUUAGGGUUUUUACGAUGGAGAGAGUAACCGGAAACCUAAUGAAGCGGUGGAGAAGAAGAUGAAGAGAGAUUUGAAACGUGGGAUUUCUUGUUCAUGAGGAAAUAAAAAGUUGUUUUGGAAGAAAGAGCACUUAUUUCCUCAAGUUGACUACUUUGUCAAGUGAAGAAGAUUGGAUAGAAAGAUUUUUGACGAAACGGGAAGUGAGCUUGGAAAGGCGUAAAGAGCUUAAAAGGUACUGACGACAGGUUUGCUGAUCCGCCCGCUUAGGACCUUAUUCUGCUAUUUUGGAGCGCUCUUUUAUCCAGAGCCUAUAUUUUGGUACAGUCUUCUACUAUUGUACAUAUGUAUAUCAUUCAGGGGUACGACGGGGCCCUGUCCCGUCUUAUGAUUCUGUUAUGUUCUGUAGAGGUCUGUAGACAUGCAUGUGGGUUCUGUAUAUGUUUUUGGGUUGUUAUGAUCUGUGAUGGCCUUAUCGGCUUCCACGUGCUAUAUUUGU